rnacentral:rRNA from 1 species
UCUGGUUGAUCCUGCCUGAACUGAUGUGUUCAUUUCAAAGAUUAAGCCAUGCAUGUAUAAGUUUAAUCGUUUUAACGAGAAACCGCGAACGGCUCAUUACAAUGGCCAUGAUUUACUUGAUCUUGAUUAUCUAAAUGGAUAACUGUGGAAAAGCUAGAGCUAAUACAUGCACCAAAGCUUUGUCCUCUCGGAAAAGCGCAUUUAUUAGAACAAAACCACGCGGCUUCGGCUGCUUCUUGUUGACUCAGAAUAACUAAGCUGACCGCAUGGCCUUGUGCCGGCGGCGUGUCUUUCAAGCGUCCACUUUAUCAACUUGACGGAGCAUAAUCGACUCCCGUGGUGGUGACGGAUAACGGAGGAUCAGGGUUCGACUCCGGAGAAGGGGCCUGAGAAAUGGCCACUACGUCUAAGGAUGGCAGCAGGCGCGCAAAUUACCCACUCUCGGCUCGAGGAGGUAGUGACGAGAAAUAACGAGAUCGUUCUCUUUGAGGCCGGUCAUCGGAAUGGGUACAAUUUAAACCCUUUAACGAGUAUCAAGCAGAGGGCAAGUCUGGUGCCAGCAGCCGCGGUAACUCCAGCAUCUGCUAAUACAUAGAAUUAUUGCUGCGGUUAAAAAGCUCGUAGUUGGAUUCGUAUCGGUACCCUGGAACCCUCCGGGUGUUUCUGGGUGUUAUCGAUUUAUCGUAAUGUUCGGUUUUGAGUCCUUAACAGGAUUCUUAACAGGCAUUGUAAGUUUACUUUGAACAAUCAGAGUGCUUCAAACAGGCGUUUUCGCUUGAAUGAGCGUGCAUGGAAUAAUAGAAAACGAUUUCGGUUCAGUUUUAUUGGUUUUACGGACUGAGAUAAUGGUUAACAGAGACAAACGGGGGCAUUUGUAUGGCCCCGUGAGAGGUGAAAUUCUUGGACCGUGGCCAGACAAACUACAGCGAAAGCAUUUGCCAAGAAUGUCUUCAUUAAUCAAGAACGAAAGUCAGAGGUUCGAAGGCGAUCAGAUACCGCCCUAGUUCUGACCGUAAACGAUGCCAACUAGCGAUCCGCCGAUGGAAAUUAUAUUGCCUUGGUGGGGAGCUUCCCGGAAACGAAAGUCUUCCGGUUCCGGGGGAAGUAUGGUUGCAAAGCUGAAACUUAAAGGAAUUGACGGAAGGGCACCACCAGGAGUGGAGCCUGCGGCUUAAUUUGACUCAACACGGGGAAACUCACCCGGCCCGGACACUGUGAGGAUUGACAGAUUGAUAGCUUUUUCAUGAUUCAGUGGAUGGUGGUGCAUGGCCGUUCUUAGUUCGUGGAGUGAUUUGUCUGUUUAUUCCGAUAACGAGCGAGACUCUAACCAAAAGAAUAUAAAAAUAAACUUGGAGGCCAAAACCUAAUAACUUUUAUUUUCUUAUCAAACUUAUUUUCAAUUAUGACUAAUUAUAUAAAAAAGAAUAUAAAAAUAAACUUGGAGGCCAAAACCUAAUAACUUUUAGUUUCUUAUCAAACUUAUUUUCAAUUAUGACUAAUUAUAUAAAAAAGAAUAUAAAAAUAAACUUGGAGGCCAAAACCUAAUAACUUUUAGUU